rnacentral:rRNA from 1 species
UACGGAGGGUGCAAGCGUUGUUCGGAAUCAUUGGGCGUAAAGCGCGUGUAGGCGGUUUGCUAAGUCUGGUGUGAAAGCCCGGGGCUUAACCCCGGAAGUGCACUGGAUACUGGCUAACUAGAGGGCGAGAGAGGAAAGUGGAAUUCCUGGUGUAGGGGUGAAAUCCGUAGAUAUCAGGAGGAACAUCGGUGGCGAAGGCGGCUUUCUGGCUCGUUUCUGACGCUGAGACGCGAAAGCGUGGGGAGCAAACAGG